ACGUGUGCAGAAUGCCUGGCUUGGUGAUUGGCACAUACACAAGAAAUACUCAGCCAAUGGUAACUGUUAUUGUUACUAUUGCUGCUGCUGUUAUGCAGGGAAGGACAGAGGUUUGAUACGCAUAUUUGUGGAAGUGCAAUCUAUGUGGAGCUCCGGGACUGCAGGAACACGGAGGCGGGAGAACGAUGGAAGCUCCUGGGGCAAUGCUGGAGGGUCGGUCCGGUCCGGAGAGAAACCAGAUGGUGAAAAUGAUCUGGGAGUGGACUGUGGCAGCUGCUGAGGAGAACCUGAAGUAGAAGACAAUACUGGAUGGAAGGCUUCAUCUCUACUUCAGGUUGGAUCAGGGCAUCCUCUUGCCCUGCCCUCUUCUGAGCGGGGCCAGUGGCUGAGCGGAACACAAUCUGAGAUCUCUCUCGAUGCACAGACCCAUAACUCACCUUCAUAAGCACGGUGACCUGGCCAAGGGUCCCAGACCUGGCUGACUGUUCUUUGGAGCCUGUUGAAACAGCGAUUCCUGGUCUUCUCUCACACAGAGAUUCAGGAGGUCAGAGCUGGGCUGAUUCUGGAACGGCACAUGCCCAGACUGGCAUCUGGGAAUGGGUUGACAGUAGCUUGAUGAGCUUUGUAUGCGUCAUGAAAAAUGGCCACCUUGACACCUUUGUGCAUGGCCCUCUUGUUCUGCCUCCCAGGACUGGCUAAGCACACAGAGCAGCAAGCAAUCGCUUGUCUUAUGUGACCCACGUCUAAGCAACCACAGGAAGCAGCCUGAGUAGGAACGAGGAGCUCCUAGAACAAGCAUGGAGGGGACCAAGUCGGGGCUGUUCCAUACCUUCUGCACAUUGUGCAAGUGUUGGUUUUCAGGGGAGGGGGCGUGCCGGGGAGGGGGUGUGUGAAGGAAGCAUAGUCUAUGAAACAUAAAGAAAUAGUCUGGAAAACAUGGAGUGAUGCGUGGAGAUCCUUUUGAACCAUCUUGUCACCUAUGGGUCAUAUACAAAGUGUCCUGUCCCAGAAGCAGAAGGUCCCAGAACAUUCACUCAGUGACACAGAAGGAGAGGAUGAGUAUCUCAAGGAGAAAGAAGUUUGGGGCUGGAAUGCUGGUCUUUGGUGCUCUGCUCAUUACUACUUUCCCCAGGCCACUUGGGUUACCCCAUUGCCCUAGCCUGCUUCCUUCUGCAGGGACAUCUGUCCGUUUCUUGGCUUGUGACCUGCAUACGCUACGACACUCUCACACUGUUCAAAUAUUAGAUAGUGUAGAGGAUUUAUAAAGUCAUCAGCCCUUGUCCAACUUUUUCUCCCUCCUACAUUAUCCCCCGGCCUUAUUGGGAUGUUCAGUCAGAACAGUGCUCUGGUCA